rnacentral:tRNA from 1 species
GGAGAGGUCGCAUAGUUGGUCUAGUGCGCCCGUCUCGAAAACGGGUAGAGCGCAAGUUCUCGUGGGUUCGAAUCCCACCCUCUCCG